AAUUUGGACACGGCAGUCCGAGUGGAAGGACGCAAACAAGACUUCUCCUGGUUUUCCUGUACUAGUCCUAGCACAGUUUUACUUUCCUUUAAGCAUUCUUUUUCUGAGGUCUAAGUCUUCCUGGUAGUUUUCUGGUGUUUUUCCACGUAUCUACAUCGUAGACAUCUUCGUCAUUGAAUUGAGCAUCAGCCUCCUACAAGACCAGCACCAGCAGAACCAUAUCUGAAGGACCGUCUCGCCACAACCGCUAUACUCGGAUCUUCAACUUGAUAAGCAGUGCUAUCCUCCAAUACCGGAUUCAUGGAGAAAUCAUUGUUUUAAUGUAUUUUAUAACUCAAUGUAGAAAGAAAAUACAAAUCAUUUAUGU
rnacentral:sRNA from 1 species